rnacentral:rRNA from 1 species
UCCCACCUGACCCCAUGCCGAACUCAGAAGUGAAACGCCGUAGCGCCGAUGGUAGUGUGGGGUCUCCCCAUGCGAGAGUAGGAAACUGCCAGGC